rfam:Oryza barthii chromosome 12, whole genome shotgun sequence.
AAUAAGUGCAGUUUUGCACUGUUUAUGUCUAACGUUUGACCGUUUGUUUUAUUUGAAAAUUUUUUACGAUUAAUAUUUUUAUUGUUAUUAGAUGAUAAAAUAUGAAUAGUACUUUAUGUGCCACUAACUUUUUUUUUAAUUUUCUCAUAAAUUUUCCAAAUAAGACAGAUAAUCAAACGUUGUACAUAGAUUUCCACGACUGCACUUAUU